AAAUCAGUUUUCUGAUGGCAGGUGCUAUUAUUUUGGAACUCGAGAACUUUUGGCUUAAGCUAGCCGUGAGUGUCGUCUCAGAUGUCCGGCUGUCACUAAAGAUCUUUUCAGGAAACCUGCUUGCCGGAAAAGAAUCUGUCAACGGCCAAUUGGGACCCCUGCCGCCCAAGAUGCUGCUGGAAUUUGUCUCACCAAUAUUGACAUAGCCUUUCUGAUCUUUGAGGUCGUCUUUCUGAGGCCAAAGGGACAAUGUCUUUUAGCAUUCCAGUUUCUCUGGAUAAGGCUGAUAAGGAUGAGAUCUCAUAAAGAAAAGAGACAACAAAGACGAGGAGAAUUAUCUGGAUGACAACUUGGUAAGAU